rnacentral:rRNA from 1 species
GGAACGACUCUCGGCAACGGAUAUCUGCUCUCGCAUCGAUGAAGAACGCAGCGAAAUGCGAUACUUGGUGUGAAUUGCAGGAUCCCGCGAACCAUCGAGUCUUUGAACGCAAGUUGCGCCCGAAGCCUCCGGGCCGAGGGCACGUCUGCCUGGGYGUCACUC